rnacentral:rRNA from 1 species
UACGAAAGGGGCUAGCGUUGUUCGGAAUUACUGGGCGUAAAGCGCACGUAGGCGGCCUUGUAAGUUAGGGGUGAAAUCCCCGGGCUCAACCCGGGAACUGCCUCUAAGACUGCAAAGCUUGAGGAUGCGAGAGGUUGGCGGAAUUCCGAGUGUAGAGGUGAAAUUCGUAGAUAUUCGGAAGAACACCAGUGGCGAAGGCGGCCAACUGGCGCAUUUCUGACGCUGAGGUGCGAAAGCGUGGGGAGCAAACAGG